rnacentral:rRNA from 1 species
UACGUAGGGGGGCAAGCGUUGUCCGGAUUUAUUGGGCGUAAAGAGCGUGUAGGCGGUCAGGUAGGUCCGUUGUGAAAACUCGAGGCUCAACCUCGAGACGCCGAUGGAAACCAUCUGACUAGAGUCCGGAAGAGGAGAGUGGAAUUCCUGGUGUAGCGGUGAAAUGCGCAGAUAUCGGGAGGAAUACCAGUGGCGAAGGCGGCCUUCUGGACGGAUACUGACGCUGAGGCGCGAAAGCCAGGGGAGCAAAGCGGG